AUUGAACGCUGGCGGCAUGCUUUACACAUGCAAGUCGAACGGCAGCGCGGGCUUCGGCCUGGCGGCGAGUGGCGAACGGGUGAGUAAUACAUCGGAACGUGCCCAGUAGUGGGGGAUAGCUCGGCGAAAGCCGGAUUAAUACCGCAUACGACCUGAGGGUGAAAGCGGGGGAUCUUCGGACCUCGCGCUAUUGGAGCGGCCGAGGGCAGAUUAGCUAGUUGGUGGGGUAAAGGCCUACCAAGGCGACGAUCUGUAGCUGGUCUGAGAGGACGACCAGCCAAACUGGGACUGAGACACGGCCCAGACUCCUACGGGAGGCAGCAGUGGGGAAUUUUGGACAAUGGGCGAAAGCCUGAUCCAGCAAUGCCGCGUGUGUGAUGAAGGCCUUCGGGUUGUAAAGCACUUUUGGCGGGAACGAAAAGGACUGUGCCAAUACCACGGUUCGAUGACGGUACCCGCAGAAUAAGCACCGGCUAACUACGUG
rnacentral:rRNA from 1 species